GGCCGGUUGGCGCAAUGGUAGCGCGUGCCCCUCCUACACUUCAAUGCAUGGUGGCAAAAGGGCAAGGUUGCGGGUUCGGUUCGUACCCUCUG